GUGGGGAAUCUUGCGCAAUGGGCGAAAGCCUGACGCAGCCAUGCCGCGUGAAUGAUGAAGGUCUUAGGAUUGUAAAAUUCUUUCACCGGGGACGAUAAUGACGGUACCCGGAGAAGAAGCCCCGGCUAACUUCGUGCCAGCAGCCGCGGUAAUACGAAGGGGGCUAGCGUUGCUCGGAAUUACUGGGCGUAAAGGGAGCGUAGGCGGAUAGUUCAGUCAGAGGUGAAAGCCCAGGGCUCAACCUUGGAAUUGCCUUUGAUACUGGCUGUCUUGAGUAUGGGAGAGGUUAGCGGAACUCCGAGUGUAGAGGUGAAAUUCGUAGAUAUUCGGAAGAACACCAGUGGCGAAGGCGGCUAACUGGCCCAUUACUGACGCUGAGGCUCGAAAGCGUGGGGAGCAAACAGGAUUAGAAACCCUUGUAGUCC
rnacentral:rRNA from 1 species